rnacentral:rRNA from 1 species
AGUGAACGCUGGCGGUAGGCCUAACACAUGCAAGUCGAACGGCAGCACAGUAAGAGCUUGCUCUUACGGGUGGAGAGUGGCGGACGGGUGAGGAAUACAUCGGAAUCUACUUUUUCGUGGGGGAUAACGUAGGGAAACUUACGCUAAUACCGCAUACGACCUACGGGUGAAAGCAGGGGAUCUUCGGACCUUGCGCGAUUGAAUGAGCCGAUGUCGGAUUAGCUAGUUGGCGGGGUAAAGGCCCACCAAGGCGACGAUCCGUAGCUGGUCUGAGAGGAUGAUCAGCCACACUGGAACUGAGACACGGUCCAGACUCCUACGGGAGGCAGCAGUGGGGAAUAUUGGACAAUGGGCGCAAGCCUGAUCCAGCCAUACCGCGUGGGUGAAGAAGGCCUUCGGGUUGUAAAGCCCUUUUGUUGGGAAAGAAAAGCAGCAGGUUAAUACCCCGCUGUUCCGACGGUACCCAAAGAAUAAGCACCGGCUAACUUCGUG